rnacentral:rRNA from 1 species
GACGUAGGGCGCGAGCGUUGUCCGGAAUUAUUGGGCGUAAAGAGCUCGUAGGCGGUGUGUCGCGUCGGCCGUGAAAACCUGGGGCUUAACUCUGGGCGUGCGGUCGAUACGGGCAUCACUGGAGUUCGGCAGGGGAGACUGGAAUUCCUGGUGUAGCGGUGAAAUGCGCAGAUAUCAGGAGGAACACCGGUGGCGAAGGCGGGUCUCUGGGCCGAUACUGACGCUGAGGAGCGAAAGCAUGGGUAGCGAACAGG